UACGGGGGGAGCAAGCGUUGUUCGGAUUUACUGGGCGUAAAGGGCGCGUAGGCGGUCGUGACAAGUCACUUGUGAAAUCUCCGGGCUUAACUCGGAACGGUCAAGUGAUACUGUCGGACUAGAGUACAGAAGGGGCAACUGGAAUUCUCGGUGUAGCGGUGAAAUGCGUAGAUAUCGAGAGGAACACCCGUGGCGAAAGCGGCGCGCUGGACCACUACUGACGCUGAGGAACGAAAGCUAGGGGAGCAAACAGG
rnacentral:rRNA from 1 species